UCUUCUUUUUCAGAGAGAACUUUCUCGAAGUAAGAAUAUUUUUCGAGCAACUCAAUUUCGAAAGAGUCGUCGAGAGAGUUAGCUACAAGGAAGUCAACCUCGUGGCAGACAUUGGAGGGCAGCUGGGACUCUGGAUUGGCAUUUCAGUGUUGACAUGCUGCGAGUUGCUGGAGCUUAUUCUCCUAAUUAUCCAAACUGUUUUUAAAAGGAUGUUCUCAACGAACAUUAUACACGUCAAACCUGCUUGACAGUGAUCUGACGGAGACAUUUCCUGAUAUCUACCCCUUUUACAUCGUAGCAGGCAGCUCAAGAAUUGAAUUUACGCCCAUGCUAUUUUAAUUAGUCAAGUUUUCUGUACAAUUUAUAGUGGAUUCGAGUCGACUUAUGGCUCAAACUGCAUGUAGAGCCUAUUACCUGGCUAAUGCAUAAGAGUUACUUAGUAAGCUAGUGGUACCGAAUUUGUGAUCAGUAAGUUCCCACCAGCAGUUCCAGACACGUGCUUCUGAUUUACCUCAGCUCUUGCAAAGGCGGAACAGCCGCUUUGAAGUUUCUGGAAAUAAACAGUUUUAACUACAUUAGCAACUAGUAACUCGUCGAUGGACGGCAAAAUUCCCAGUAAAACGUUUUGGUCAUUGGUGUAUCAGAUAGUCAAAGGAGGUUUACUUAUUUUAUUUUGUCACUUAGUUUAGGUGAUCUCGAGGCGACAAUUAUUAAGCUGUUGCAUACACGUAUUGUCAUGAACGAUCGUCUCCAGGGUUUUCAAUUUUUAACUUUGUAAUUCGGGGUCAAUGGGGCGAUAGUUCCAACAUAUACAGAAAAUAAUCCAGUAGUAUUCAUUGACCAAGUGGGAAGUCUACAAAGAAAACACAUAUUCUUUCAAAGGUAACCGUGAUAUUGUGGCUUAGAAUUUUUAAAGAAAUGUGAAACGUCAUUUUAUUUGCUGUUUUGCAACUCGUUGGACACCAAAUAAAAUCUAUUAUAGCUUCUGUGUA